rnacentral:rRNA from 1 species
GGGUUGUGAGGUUAAGCGACCAAGCGUACACGGUGGAUGCCCUGGCAGUCAGAGGCGAUGAAGGACGUGCUAAUCUGCGAAAAGCGCCGGUAAGGUGAUAUGAACCGUUAUAACCGGCGAUGUCCGAAUGGGGAAACCCAGUGUGACUCGUCACACUAUCAUUAACUGAAUCCAUAGGUUAAUGAGGCGAACCGGGGGAACUGAAACAUCUAAGUACCCCGAGGAAAAGAAAUCAACCGAGAUUCCCCCAGUAGCGGCGAGCGAACGGGGAGGAGCCCAGAGCCUGAAUCAGCAUGUGUGUUAGUGGAAGCGUCUGGAAAGGCGCGCGAUACAGGGUGAGAGCCCCGUACACAAAAGCGCACAUGCUGUGAGCUCGAUGAGUAGGGCGGGACACGUGGUAUCCUGUCUGAAUAUGGGGGGACCAUCCUCCAAGGCUAAAUACUCCUGACUGACCGAUAGUGAACCAGUACCGUGAGGGAAAGGCGAAAAGAACCCCGGCGAGGGGAGUGAAACAGAACCUGAAACCGUGUACGUACAAGCAGUGGGAGCCCCACCACUAAGCCAGUGGUGAACUCCACAUACGCAUCCUUUGCGGAAGAUGCGGUUAACGGAGCGAAAGCGACGUUCAACCUCAGAAGAAGCAGAGGGGGCUUAGUGGUGGGGUGACUGCGUACCUUUUGUAUAAUGGGUCAGCGACUUAUAUUCUGUAGCAAGGUUAACCGCAUAGGGGAGCCGAAGGGAAACCGAGUCUUAAUUGGGCGUUAAGUUGCAGGGUAUAGACCCGAAACCCGGUGAUCUAGCCAUGGGCAGGUUGAAGGUUGGGUAACACUAACUGGAGGACCGAACCGACUAAUGUUGAAAAAUUAGCGGAUGACCUGUGGCUGGGGGUGAAAGGCCAAUCAAACCGGGAGAUAGCUGGUUCUCCCCGAAAGCUAUUUAGGUAGCGCCUCGUGAACUCAUCUCCGGGGGUAGAGCACUGUUUCGGCUAGGGGGCCAUCCCGGCUUACCAACCCGAUGCAAACUGCGAAUACCGGAGAAUGUUAUCACGGGAGACACACGGCGGGUGCUAACGUCCGUCGUGAAGAGGGAAACAACCCAGACCGCCAGCUAAGGUCCCAAAGUCAUGGUUAAGUGGGAAACGAUGUGGGAAGGCCCAGACAGCCAGGAUGUUGGCUUAGAAGCAGCCAUCAUUUAAAGAAAGCGUAAUAGCUCACUGGUCGAGUCGGCCUGCGCGGAAGAUGUAACGGGGCUAAACCAUGCACCGAAGCUGCGGCAGCGAACGUAUCACUUAAAACGAUUCAGAAGCUUACGAUUGACGGAGCGAAGCGACGUCAAAGCGUAUACAAAGUCGAGUCGGUUUAAGGAUACGUUCGUUGGGUAGGGGAGCGUUCUGUAAGCCGUUGAAGGUGUCCUGUGAGGGGUGCUGGAGGUAUCAGAAGUGCGAAUGCUGACAUAAGUAACGAUAAAGCGGGUGAAAAGCCCGCUCGCCGGAAGACCAAGGGUUCCUGUCCAACGUUAAUCGGGGCAGGGUGAGUCGACCCCUAAGGCGAGGCCGAAAGGCGUAGUCGAUGGGAAACGGGUUAAUAUUCCCGUACUUGGUGUUACUGCGAAGGGGGGACGGAGAAGGCUAUGUUGGCCGGGCGACGGUUGUCCCGGUUUAAGCGUGUAGGUGUGUGUUCCAGGUAAAUCCGGUUCACUUUAACACUGAGGCGUGAUGACGAGGCACCACGGUGCUGAAGCAACAAAUGCCCUGCUUCCAGGAAAAGCCUCUAAGCAUCAGGUAACAUCAAAUCGUACCCCAAACCGACACAGGUGGUCAGGUAGAGAAUACCAAGGCGCUUGAGAGAACUCGGGUGAAGGAACUAGGCAAAAUGGUGCCGUAACUUCGGGAGAAGGCACGCUGACACGUAGGUGAAGUGAUUUACUCAUGGAGCUGAAGUCAGUCGAAGAUACCAGCUGGCUGCAACUGUUUAUUAAAAACACAGCACUGUGCAAACACGAAAGUGGACGUAUACGGUGUGACGCCUGCCCGGUGCCGGAAGGUUAAUUGAUGGGGUCAGCGCAAGCGAAGCUCCUGAUCGAAGCCCCGGUAAACGGCGGCCGUAACUAUAACGGUCCUAAGGUAGCGAAAUUCCUUGUCGGGUAAGUUCCGACCUGCACGAAUGGCGUAAUGAUGGCCAGGCUGUCUCCACCCGAGACUCAGUGAAAUUGAACUCGCUGUGAAGAUGCAGUGUACCCGCGGCAAGACGGAAAGACCCCGUGAACCUUUACUAUAGCUUGACACUGAACAUUGAGCCUUGAUGUGUAGGAUAGGUGGGAGGCUUUGAAGCGUGGACGCCAGUCUGCGUGGAGCCGACCUUGAAAUACCACCCUUUAAUGUUUGAUGUUCUAACGUGGACCCGUAAUCCGGGUUGCGGACAGUGUCUGGUGGGUAGUUUGACUGGGGCGGUCUCCUCCUAAAGAGUAACGGAGGAGCACGAAGGUUGGCUAAUCCUGGUCGGACAUCAGGAGGUUAGUGCAAUGGCAUAAGCCAGCUUGACUGCGAGCGUGACGGCGCGAGCAGGUGCGAAAGCAGGUCAUAGUGAUCCGGUGGUUCUGAAUGGAAGGGCCAUCGCUCAACGGAUAAAAGGUACUCCGGGGAUAACAGGCUGAUACCGCCCAAGAGUUCAUAUCGACGGCGGUGUUUGGCACCUCGAUGUCGGCUCAUCACAUCCUGGGGCUGAAGUAGGUCCCAAGGGUAUGGCUGUUCGCCAUUUAAAGUGGUACGCGAGCUGGGUUUAGAACGUCGUGAGACAGUUCGGUCCCUAUCUGCCGUGGGCGCUGGAAGACUGAGGGGGGCUGCUCCUAGUACGAGAGGACCGGAGUGGACGCAUCACUGGUGUUCGGGUUGUCAUGCCAAUGGCACUGCCCGGUAGCUAAAUGCGGAAAAGAUAAGUGCUGAAAGCAUCUAAGCACGAAACUUGCCCCGAGAUGAGUCUUCCCUGAGACUUUGAGUCUCCUGAAGGAACGUUAAAGACGAUGACGUUGAUAGGCCGGGUGUGUAAGCGCAGCGAUGCGUUGAGCUAACCGGUACUAAUGAACCGUGAGGCUUAACCUUACAACGCCGAAGCUGUU